rnacentral:rRNA from 1 species
GACGAACGCUGGCGGCGUGCUUAACACAUGCAAGUCGAGCGGUAAGGCCCUUUCGGGGGUACACGAGCGGCGAACGGGUGAGUAACACGUGGGUGACCUGCCCUCAGCUCUGGGAUAAGCCCGGGAAACUGGGUCUAAUACCGGAUAUGACUCCAUGACGCAUGUUGUGGGGUGAAAGCCUUAGUGCGGCCGAGGAUGGGCCCGCGGCCUAUCAGCUUGUUGGUGGGGUNAUGGCCACCAAGGCGACGACGGGUAGCCGGCCUGAGAGGGCGACCGGCCACACUGGGACUGAGACACGGCCCAGACUCCUACGGGAGGCAGCAGGUGGGGAAUCUUGCGCAAUGGGCGAAAGCCUGACGCAGCGACGCCGCGUGAGGGAUGACGGCCUGG